rnacentral:rRNA from 1 species
AGGGUGUAAACGCUGCAGACUUGGUGUUGGAAGUCCUUUGGGGGCAUUCAGUGCCGGAGAGAAGUUGUUAAGUCUGCUACUUGGGGAGUACGUCCGCAAGGAUGAAACUUAAAGGAAUUGGCGGGGGUGCACCGCAACGGGAGGAGCGUGCGGUUUAAUUGGAUUCAACACCGUAAAACUCACCAGGGAAGACUGUUACAUGAAAGCCGAGAUGAAGACUCUGCUAGAUUUUCAGAGAGGAGGUGCAUGGCGUCAGUGACU